rnacentral:rRNA from 1 species
CGAGGGGUGCAAGCGUUGCUCGGAAUUAUUGGGCGUAAAGGGUAGGUAGGUGGUCUCAUUUGUCUGUGGUGAAAGCCUUGGGCUUAACUCAAGAAGUGCCGCAGAAACGGUGAGACUAGAGUCCUGGAGAGGGUCGUGGAAUUCCCGGUGUAGCGGUGAAAUGCGUAGAGAUCGGGAGGAACACCAGAGGCGAAGGCGGCGACCUGGACAGGUACUGACACUCAACUACGAAAGCGUGGGGAGCAAACAGGAUUAGAUACCCUGGUAGUCCACGCUGUAAACGAUGGGUACUAGGUUUGGCGGGUCUUGACCCCUGCCGAACCGCAGCUAACGCAAUAAGUACCCCGCCUGGGAAGUACGGUCGCAAGACUA